AGUGAACGCUGGCGGUAGGCCUAACACAUGCAAGUCGAACGGCAGCACAGUAAGAGCUUGCUCUUACGGGUGGCGAGUGGCGGACGAGUGAGGAAUACAUCGGAAUCUACUUUUUCGUGGGGGAUAACGUAGGGAAACUUACGCUAAUACCGCAUACGACCUACGGGUGAAAGCAGGGGAUCUUCGGACCUUGCGCGAUUGAAUGAGCCGAUGUCGGAUUAGCUAGUUGGCGGGGUAAAGGCCCACCAAGGCGACGAUCCGUAGCUGGUCUGAGAGGAUGGUCAGCCACACUGGAACUGAGACACGGUCCAGACUCCUACGGGAGGCAGCAGUGGGGAAUAUUGGACAAUGGGCGGAAGCCUGAUCCAGCCAUACCGCGUGGGUGAAGAAGGCCUUCGGGUUGUAAAGCCCUUUUGUUGGGAAAGAAAAGCAGCAGGUUAAUACCCCGCUGUUCUGACGGUACCCAAAGAAUAAGCACCGGCUAACUUCGU
rnacentral:rRNA from 1 species